UAUAACAAUAAGGGGUGCUCAUACAGAUGGGCUGAGAUUAUACCCUCGAAUCUGAUGCGGAUAAUGCCGCCGUAGAAAUUAGAGUUGUAGAUUUCU
rnacentral:ncRNA from 2 species